rnacentral:rRNA from 1 species
GACGAACGCUGGCGGCGUGCUUAAUACAUGCAAGUCGAACGGAAAGGCCCUGCUCUUGCGGGGCGCUCGAGUGGCGAACGGGUGAGUAACACGUGAGUAACCUGCCCUUGUCUUUGGGAUAACUUCAGGAAACUGGGGCUAUUAUCGGAUAGGAGCUCCUGCAGCACGGUGGGGGUUGGAAAGUUUCGGCGGUUGGGGAUGUAGUCGCGGCUUAGGAGCUUGUUGGUGGGGUAGUGGAGUACCAAGGAUUUGACGGCUAGCCGGCCUGGGAGUGUGACCGGCCCCAGUGGGACUGGGGUACGGCCCGGACUCAUACGGGCGGCAGCAGUGGAGAAUAGUGCACGCUGGGCGGAAGCCGUAUGCAGGAUCGCCGCGUGCGGGAUGACGGCCUUCGGGUAGUAAACCGCUUCGACUGAAACGAGGAGUGAGUGACGGUAAUGAGUAAAGAAGCACCGGCUAACUACGUG